UGACAUUGUGAGAUCUAGAAUGGGAGCAAAACAACCACUAAUUGUUGAGCAGUUGAAAAAAGAUGAAAGGCUUAUUGUUGAUAUCUGUGUGGCGAAAUUCUUCUACAACGCCGGCAUCCCUUUCAAUGUAAGAGAUUGUUUCGAUUUCCACGUUAUGUUGGAAGCUGUUGGAAGGUAUGGUUGGGGUUAUACACCUCCAACUAUCAGUAGAUUACG
rnacentral:lncRNA from 1 species